GUUUGUCCCCAUUCACUUCUUAUACUUCUUCGUCCCCUCCUUUCUUCUUCUUGUUCUCCUCUCAGUUUCCCUUCCCUCUUCCUCCUCCUCCUCCUCGCCAUUUCCCUCAUUUCUCUUCUUUAAUUCCUUUUGAUUCUAUUCUUGUCUCAUACCCUCUCCUUCAAUCCCUCUCCUCGCAGCCUUUGACAAUGGGUCAUCAUAUUUGUGACAGAAUCAACUCAUUGCUUGUUACAAAUGGAGCAUCGCCUCUAAUUCCACUCAAUAGUCGGUUCACCUCGCCUCUGCGCUGCACCUGUAUGUGCAAGGAAGAAUUGCCUCUGGUCUGGGUUUGUCUUGCCUGCUUUGCUUGUGUGAUUUGCAUAUUUGUUUAUUUUGAUUUUCUGAAAUGCGAUUCAACGAAAUGUUUUGAUUUUUUUUUUUUGGAGAAAAAGGAUUUGCAUAUUUGUUGUCAUUGGUGAUUUGGGGAAGUUUUAUGCUGCGGAUUUGUUAUUGUUAAUGAUUUGGGGAAGUUUUUA
rnacentral:misc_RNA from 1 species